CUACCUCGCCACCUACUCCAACUCAGACAGCCACCUGUGCUUCUGGCAGAUGAACACCUCUCUGCUGGGCAGCAUUGGGAUGCUGAACUCGGCCCCGCAGCUGCGCUGUGUCAAGACGUUCCAGGUGCCCCCGGUGCAGCCGGCGUCGCCCGGCUCGCUCGGCGCGCUGCGCCUGGCCCGGCUCAUCUGGACCUCCAACCGCAACGUCAUCCUCAUGGCCCACGACGGCAAGGAGCAUCGCUUCAUGGUCUAGGGCAUCCGCUGGGGCUGCAGCUCUCCUUCCUUCCCAUGGGCUGGGGCUGCAGCUCUCCCUUCAUUCUCAUGGGCUGGGGCUGAAGCUCUCCCUUCCCGUGGGCUGGGGCUGCAGCUCUCCCCUCCUUCUCAUGGUCUGGGGCUGCAGCUCUCCCCUUCUCAUGGUCUAGGGCAUGGGCUGGGGCUGCAGCUCUCUCCUUCCUUCCCAUCCUCUGGGGCUGCAGCUCUCCCCUCCUUCCCAUGGUCUGGGGCUGCAGCUCUCCCUUCUGAUCCUCUGGGGCUGCAGCUCUCUCCUUCUCAUGCUCUGGGGCUGCAGCUCUCCCUCCCCACAGCCUCUGGGGAUGGAUGGACCCAGCCCAGAGCAGGUUCCUGCCCCGGCUCCUGGGGCUGCAGCUCUCCCCUUCCUCCUCCUCCUCCUCCCUCUGGGNGGAACGCUGGCCAGGCCGGAAGGAUAAACCAUAAUCCCCGUGUAAAUAACUCAUUUAAAAAUCCUGUUGGAUGGCAGGCUUGGAAAAAAAAGCAGUAUUUAUAUAGAAAGGUGGUUUCUGCCACCGGUGCAGGUAUUUAUUUAAAUUAAGGACCAAGGGACCGCGGUGGAAAAAGUGAAUUGUUCGCUGGAUGUACUGAAAUGUUUCCUUCAGUAGGAAUAUCCUGUGUGGCACUCGCUGUGACCGUGUUUCCUUCUCACAUAUCUGACUUUGUGUUUUGUGUGGAAUCUGCUGGUUCCUGCUCACGGGAAAGAGGAAAAAAAAAACCUCUCAAAUCCUCUUUAAUUUCAGUUUCUCUGUUUGUGCAGCUUUUCCCUGGCUGCAGAGCUCAGACCUGAGGCUGGCACUCCCUGCUAAGCUAAAAAUGGUACCUGGGAGUUGAAAAAUGAAGGAAUUAAUUUUCCCCGUGGCUCUAAAAGAGAAAAUGACUUGAUUUUGUUGGGGUUGGGGUUGUUGGAGCAGCCCGGGCUCGGUGUCUGUGCACGGCUCCAGUGGAACCCCGGCCGUGUGGGACCCGGAGCUGUUCCCAUCCCGCUGCUCCUGCCGGAGCUGCCGGUGUUCCCUCGUCCCUGGGGGUGUGGAGGUGUCGUGGGGGGACCCUGCCUGCCAGGGGAGCUGGGGCUGGGAUGAUUCCGGUGGCUGCUCCUCCACAAAUCCCCGCCCUGCUGUAAAUAACGCUGCUGGAAUAAAACCCGACUGAAACCUCUCUGCUCUCCUGGC
rnacentral:lncRNA from 1 species